UGGCGGACGGGUGAGUAACGCGUGGGCAACCUGCCCCAUACAGGGGGAGUAACAGCCGGAAACGGCUGCUAAAACCGCAUAAGCGCACAAGGGCCGCAUGGCCUGGUGUGAAAAACUCCGGUGGUAUGGGAUGGGCCCGCGUCUGAUUAGCUAGUUGGCGGGGGAGAGGCCCACCAAGGCGACGAUCAGUAGCCGACCUGAGAGGGUGGCCGGCCACAUUGGGACUGAGACACGGCCCAAACUCCUACGGAAGGCAGCAG
rnacentral:rRNA from 1 species